CAGCACUCUGGCAUCUGGGUUGGCCUUGUUAAAGGACAGAGUUGGUCUGGGUUUCUUGGGGCCCUCCCAGUGCCAGUGUGUGGUCUGUGGCUCCACUAAGGAGGCAGAUGUGCUGUGCACAGGAGAACUGUCUGUGACCCCGGAUCCAUGCACAGGUUGGAGACAUGUUCUAAGAAAGAGGUGGCUGCCCUGCCCAGUGUCUCUCCGCAUUUCCUUCUUGUAUACCACCAACCAGAAGCAGCAGGAGAUAGGUCAGUUCAGGAUUCCCUCUACACCACAACUUCAAGCACUAUGAAGGCAUCUCUCUGAUUACUGAAGACUUUGAACCUCCUUUCACUGGCUCAUUGGCCAUUGAGGCGCCUCCGGAGGAUGCACCAGGCCGACUGACGACUGACGCAUGCAGACUUCCUUGGUGUGAAUCUUCCCUUUCUUCUCCAGGUGUAAAUGCUGAGAGCUCAGGUAACUUCCUGCUCAGUGGAGGCCCUUGGCUCUGGAAGCAGGCUUGCCUGCAGAUCUUGAGUCUGGAGCAGGCUUACCAAGGGCUGGGGCACCCAGUACAGCUGCUGUCUGCCCACCAGGGCUUUGGGCCAUCCUCUCUUCUGAGAUGGAUAAUGGUGGUAAGAAGUUCGUUUCCUCUGAAGUACACUGCUCUUUCGGGCUAAUGUGUCCUUUGGGGAGGGGAAGGAGAGUUUGGAAAAAUCAAAAUAUUGAUGUCAUUUAUAACUUUCCCCAAGAACAUCCUCACUUCUGGGAACAGCACUGGGUUGUGGGGAGUGGGGGAAGGAGUGGGCAGGGGCAUGCAGAAGAACAAGACGCUGCUCCUGCCCUCAAGAUGUUCAGAAUCUAAGAAGAAGAGUAAUUAUGUGGAUGAGGGACAGCAGAGUAAAGCAGCCGACAAGAACCUGGAAAGGUACAAACCCAAUACCUACUGGGAGACCCAAAUGACAUUCUGCCUACUUUGGAGGGAGGAGGAUCCUUGAAGACUUCUAGGAGAAAGUGACCUUUGAUAGACUUUCGGAAAACAGAAAAGAUUUCAGCACUUGGAGGUAGAGGAAAGGACAUGAGGUUGAAGGGAGCAAGGGGUGACAGUGGGGCUGGUGUAGUUGCAGGACAGCAUGGUGGGGACGGGACCAGAAACAAGGAAGGGACCCUGACGAGGCUGGAGCUCAGUGCACGCAUGGAAACACCACAAGAGAGCCACGUGUUGGAGGGAAGUCGGGGUCAUGUCUUGAAUGGUUUGAAGACCCUGUCUGUAAAGGUCUUUGGACUUAUCCUAUGGGCAAAAAAGAGGCAUGGCCUGCAGGAUUUUGAGCUGAGCUGUGUUUUAGGAAGGUUUUGCUCAUGGUGGAGCAACUAAAGUCAGAGGCCGUGGUUUUGGAGAGAAUAUAGGAAGACUAUAUAUCUCCCCCACCCCCCGCUCCUUCCAGGUGAUGUGAGCGUAGGAACGAAGCCCUUCAGUUCUCUGGGCCUGUUGACGGAUCUUACAAUCUGCAGAGAGAAACUUCUGAUCUGAUUGUUUCAGCAGCAUUAGCUGGGAGCCAAGAAAAGUAAGGAGUGUCUGUGGUAGCCCCUCGGGGGUGACAGAAGGCUAGUGUCCUUCCCACCACCGUUCAGGGGAGAUUCUGCUCCCACUUGAAAGCUGUGACCUCAGUCUGGUUCUGCGUCUGAACUGGAAAGCCACAUUUUCCAAUGAAGGGAUGCCACAGGAAAUAAUAAAUCUCUCAAGACUUAUGGGCCAGGAAAUUCCUUCAGGACCAUAAAUAGAGAAGAGGUGAGGCAAAG
ensembl:lncRNA